AUUUAAAUAGUUUAUGUAAAAUAUUAGUAUUGUGGGUCUAAAGAUAUAAUUAUUUUAAAUU
rnacentral:tRNA from 1 species